AUGAUCUGGAGUCGAGAAGCGGCCCGGAACUCUGGGGCAGAAGCGAAGGGAGGAGGGGGCAAUACAUCCUACACCUGCAAUUAUCUGCCGCCGCCGCGAAGCUCCCGUCGGGCCCCCUCCCCCGCUGCGUGGACCCGGGUCUCCCAGCUCCAACCCCCGCCCCCUGUUCCCGGCCUGGGCGCACAGGGGCGCACUCCGUCCUCACCGCGCGCCCUCUCGGAGGUCUCCCGCCACCUCCCGGGGCCGCCUCCAGGCGGGAGCACCACCAGCCCCGACGCGCGCACGGCCGGUUCUCCGCCCCCCACCCCGGGGUGGGCGCUCCGCAGCCCGCACCGCCCCGUCCUGGGAAGGGAGCGCUCUCCCAGCUCCGCCUGGACCCCAAGACCGUGGGAAGCCGCGUCCCAGUCCUCUGACUGGGUUCCUCUUGCUCGCAUCUUCCUUCUAAUUCACAUCCCCACUAUCUUGCAAUUUGUUUUCCAAGCCGUUUCUCUUUUUCUCCGGCUCCCUCAUCUUUCUAUCCUGGUUUCGCCGCCCGCUUUUUAUUUCCCUCUCCUUCCGCUUUCUGUCUGCCCUUGCGUAAAUUCCACGCUUUGGGCUUCGCGCCUCCCGCUCGACUCCCUUUUCCUGCCCCACCCCCAUCCCACGCGCCCCGUCCAGAAGGUGGCUCCUGCCCCUGGGAUUCGACCUGCCCCGGAUGGGACCUCCAGGGGCCGGGCAGAGAGCGUCCCGAAGCACGCACCUCUCUUCGCCAGCGCCAGGGCUGCGCCGGCCCACGCGACAUCUGUCGCCCGCGCUCCCGGCUCACACCCUGCGCACCCCCGCAGCUCCCCUGGCGCUGUCACCCCCCACGCUCCGGCUGCCGCCUCUCUCCGCGGGCGCCGCGCCAGCUUCCCAGGGUGUCGGCGCACGGCGGGGCUCGGCCAGGACUCGGCCAGGGCCCAGCGCUCGGCAUCUGUGGGGUCGUGGCACCCGGGGCCGCCGGCUUUCUCAGCUUCGACCUUCACCUUCCAGCCCUAG
rnacentral:lncRNA from 1 species